rnacentral:rRNA from 1 species
AUUGAACGCUGGCGGAAUGCUUUACACAUGCAAGUCGAACGGCAGCACGGACUUCGGUCUGGCGGCGAGUGGCGAACGGGUGAGUAAUGUAUCGGAACGUGCCCAGUCGUGGGGGAUAACGUAGUGAAAAUUACGCUAAUACCGCAUACGAUCUAUGGAUGAAAGCGGGGGAUCGCAAGACCUUGCGCGCUUGGAGCGGCCGAUAUCAGAUUAGGUAGUUGGUGGGGUAAAGGCCCACCAAGCCAACGAUCUGUAGCUGGUCUGAGAGGACGACCAGCCACACUGGAACUGAGACACGGUCCAGACUCCUACGGGAGGCAGCAGUGGGGAAUUUUGGACAAUGGGCGAAAGCCUGAUCCAGCCAUUCCGCGUGCAGGAUGAAGGCCCUCGGGUUGUAAACUGCUUUUGUACAGAACGAAAAGGUUUCUACUAAUACUAGGAGCUCAUGACGGUACUGUAAGAAUAAGCACCGGCUAACUACGUGCCAGCCGCCGCCGUAA